GAGUUCCCGUUGUGGCUCAGCAGAAACAAAUCUGACAAGUAUCCAUGAAGACGUGGGUUCGAUCCCUGGCCUCACUCAGUUAAGGAUCUGGUGUUGCCAUGAACUCUGGUGUAGGUGGCAGAUGCGGCUCUGACCUGGCGUGGCUGUGGCUGUGGUGUAGGCCGGCAGCAACAGCUCUGAUUCAACCCCUAGCCUGGAAACCUCCAUAUGCCAUGGGUGCAGCCCUAAAAAGAUAUAUAUGUGGAGAAAAGUAGUUAGGUUGUCUGGAUUCAAAUCCUGUUUCUCAUUCUCACUAGCUUUGAUGUUGUCCAGGUUAUUUAACUUCUGGUGUCCUUAAUUAAGAGAAAAAUCUGGGGUGUUCCCAUUGUGGCUCUGUGGUAAUGAACCCGACUAGUAUUCCUGAAGAUGUGGGUUCGAUUCCUGGCCUGGCUCAGUGGGUUAAGGAUCCGGCAUUAUCCUGAGCUGUGGUGUAGCUCACAGAUGCAGCUCUGACCCCUCAUUACUGUGGCUGUGGUGGAGGCCGGCAGCUGUAGCUCCGAUUCGACCCCUAGCCUGGGAACUUCCAUAUGCUGUGGGUGCAGCCUUAAAAAGAAAAAAGAGAGAAAAAUCUGAACACAGGCACCCAGAGAGGGAAGGUGAUAUGAAGACAUCCAGGAAGGUGACCAUGUAAAAGUGGCAGCAGAGACUGGAGUGAUGCAGCCACAAGCCAUGGAAGGCCUGGGGCCACCAGAAGCUGGAAGAAGCCAGAAAGGAUCCUCCCCUAGAGGCUUUAGAGGGAACAUGGCCCUGCCGACACCCUGACUUCUGACUUCUAGCCUCCAGUAUUGUGAGACUGUGAGAGAUUACAUUUCUGUUGUUCUAAGCCACCCAGAUUGUGGUACCUUCUCACAUCACCCCUAGGAAACGAAACAUCUUUUUUUGGAGUAUCCAUGAGGAUGCUGGUUCCAUCCCUGGCCUCACUCAUUAGUUUAAGGAUCUGGCGUUGCCACAAGCUGUGGUUUACGUCGCAGACAAGGCUGGGAUCCCUUGUUGCUGUGGCUGUAGUGUAGGCCAGCAGCUGUGGCUCUGUUUCGACCCCUCGCCUGGGAACUUCCAUAUGCUGCAGGUGCAGCC
rnacentral:lncRNA from 1 species